CCUACGGGUGGCUGCAGGCGCGAAAACUUUACAAUGCGGGCAACCGUGAUAAGGGAACCUCGAGUGCCUGUACAUGCAGGCUGUCUGGGUGUCUAAAACACACCCAAAGAAAGGGCCGGGCAAGACCGGUGCCAGCCGCCGCGGUAAUACCGGCGGCUCGAGUGGUGGCCACUUUUAUUGGGCUUAAAGCGUUCGUAGCUGGGUUGUUAAGUCUCUUGGGAAAUCCGGCGGCUUAACCGUUGGGCGUCUAAGAGAUACUGGCAAUCUUGGAACCGGGAGAGGUGAGGGG
rnacentral:rRNA from 1 species